rnacentral:lncRNA from 1 species
UUUAUCAAGAAAGAAAAAGAUGAGGAAUAUGUUGGCGAAUGGCGAAUGUACGUUUGCCCCCAAAAGGCCAGCGCAGAUAGCUGAGCUAGCCACUGGCAAUUCAAUUGACUGCCAUCUGGUGAGAUAUUGAUAUCUCGUCAGUCCUGAAGAUCUAAAUGCUCAUCCACUUCCCCCUGCUGCGACUCAAAGGUCCGUUCCCUUGAUAGGAUUCUGCCCCUAAAAAUACUAUGUACGUACUACUUUUACAAAUCAUAUGAACCAACCACCACCACACCAAUAUAUAGACUCCAUGUGAAACUGGAGGAGACUGCAAUUGAUGAUCAGUGAUCUGUGAUGACCAGCCCCACUCGAACAGUCCCUUCUUUAAUGCAUUUACUCCCGCUUCAUCUGCUUUUUCGGUUUUUCCCCAACGUACACUAUUUUCAGUCUUUAAAAAGGGGGGGAUGCAUUUCUCAUCCAUCAUAGGUUGAGGUAGAAAAGAGGAGGGAAAAAAACUAAAGAAAAAAUGGCAAGGUGGUUUGUGAUGCUGUUUGUUCUUGCUCUUGUGGUGGCUCAGACAGGGGCUGCUAGAGAUAUUCCUAAUGACAAGGGUGGUCUUGCUGAUCAGAAGAACUUCUUCAACUACGGAGGAGUUGGUGGGUUCAACGGCAUUGGCAGUAACGGCUGCCUUUUGGAGGUGUCGGUGGUGCAGUAGGUGGUGGCGGUCUUGGUGGAACGGGAGGAGGUCUGGGCGGGAUUAUUGGGACAGGGGGUUGGGUGGCUUGGGUGGUAGUGGUGGAGGAGUCGUACCUGUGGGUGGUGUUGUUGGAGGUGUUGUACCCGGUGGCGGGUCUGGUAAUCUUCCCUCGCCCUGAGCCUGAGGCCACAGUUGGAUGAGAUCCUGCCUUGGCGCUUAGCUUCUUCUCAAGGUUGUUUAGUUUUCUUCCAGUCUGGUGUGAUCAUGGCCACGGCCAUUAUAUUGUGCUACAGUUAGUUGUGUUGUGUUUGGAGCGCUGUUCGUUUGCUGGUUUUUAGUUGUUGCUCUUUUGUCAAAAUUAGAGCUAAGUCUUUUAAAUUAAAUUAUGAUGAUGUCGUGGUGUGUUGCACUGUACUCCAGUGCUAUUUAAUUAAAUAAUUAAUUACUUGUAAUCAAAUAUUCCCGUUUCUUCUGUUAUGCUUAUGAUUGUUUCACCCGGCGCCGGCGGGGGCCUGAGCUAUUAUUUAUCGAGCACUAACCAGAUAUUUGGUCUCUAAUCUGGGGUUGCUGACAUAAAUAAAGUUCAUGUAGAAUAUGACGAUGGUGCACAAACCAAGAAGUUUGGAGUCAUUGUGCAACGCUCUGCAACCCAUCACAGUCUCCCAAACCAGAAAGAUGGUUCCGCAUGCACAAUUGCGCUCAAACCAUCCCACCACCAUUAAUUCCCCAAAGCCAACUCGAGCUAACAUAACCUGGUUGCAUCCAAUUUAACCGCUCUGCCUCAUUCCUAGUACUACAAUUGCUCUGGCAGUUAUAUACUGUGAUUUUAUUUGUUUCAUGUUUUGAUGCACAUUUACAUCAUUUUGUCAUGUGGUUAAAUUUUGUUUUAUUUUCAUUUCUCAAAAUUGCGAAUUUUGUUUGUGUACACCAAAUAUUAUGAAAAAUAAAGCUGUGUACGCCAAAGCUGUUUCUAGCAUAAGAAGCACAACAACUCGGACAUAAUCACACCACAAACCGCAACCAUCAUGCCUGUCCUCUUUUCCUAUAUCAAUGAAGUUUACCAGCUUCUUAUUCUGGCUUUCGUGGUUUCAUCAUUCGGGGGCUCAUCACGGCAGCAGCUAGUUUCGCAGCUCUGUUCUUUGCCUUCCAUCUCCUACACGGCACUCAUUUGUGCUUCCUUGUGAUCUAAGGGCGAAACAUGCCACAGCUGCUUCCUCGGCUAUAUGGCUAGCACGAAUGCCCCUCUUGGGAUCUUUUGUUGAUGAUGCUCGCCGCGCGGAUAUGAUUUACCAAAAGCUAUUGCAAUGGACUCCUUUUAACUUUUUUGUAUUGGCUUUUGUUAAUGAUGAUUGUUGUGGGAUAUGAUUCCAAUAGCUGUUCCAAUCGACUCUUCAACUCUUGUACUGGCUUUACUUUAAUCUAUUGGCUCACAAGUAGAUCUAAUUUUUAAAAAUUCAAUAACCUCGAUUGUGUCACACCAUUUCAUCAAGUGGUGUGUCACACCAUUUCAAUCCAUUUCAUCAAGUGGUGUGAUACAAUUUGGGUUACCAAGUCUUCAAAGACUGGAGUACCCAAGUUUAGGCCUAAUCUACAUAUUCAAUCUCUUUAUUACCACAUAACCCAACAAACAAGGAAAGAAUAUUCCCCAUUAAUCAAGAAUUUCCCUUAGGCGAAGAAUAAUACAUCACAAUUCCACCUAAAAGAGGCGCAUGAAACCAGGGUCUAGAAAUUAUGCUUUCACUGCUAAAAAACUGAAUCAUGCAAGUCAAAUAGAUAAGCUCAAAAAACCAAUAUAGGAAGAGACAACAUGAAUUUAAGUAACAGAGCCGAAAGCCCCACACAUGGACAAGCAUGUAAAAGUUCAUAACAACCGUGAAAGCAGGUCGCAGAAACAAGUUAUCAUCACAUGUAGAGUCCUUCAGGAACCCCCUCUUUCUUCUUGAACAUAACCUUGUCUUUUGCCUUCUUGAAAUCUGCAUGCGUUACCUAAAUACAGGAAAAUUGAUUGAGCAUACACCAUGUUCAGGGUAAAACAACAUGAAUAUCCACUUUAUAGGCCCAAAUAUCUAUCUAACUCAUCUACCAAAUAGAAUAAACAUCGACAAAUAAGAAGUUAUUUUACAUACCAAGUAUUUCUACAGUAGUAAAUAUCACAAACUUAAACCAAGUACACUAGCGUCUCACCUUCAUACGGCGCUCUCUCAAAGCAAGCAAUCCAGCUUCAGUACAAAUUGCCUUAAUAUCAGCACCAGAAAACUCAUCUUUAGUCAUAACAAAUUCUUCUAAAUUGACGUCAUCAGCCAAUGUCAUCCUGGAUGUGUGUAUCUGCUUGCACACAUUAAAAGUUAACAUAGUCUUCAUCACAUCAAUUGCAUAGACACACAAUGUCAUGCACAUACCUGGAAAAUCCGCCUCCUUGUCUUGAUAUCUGGAAGAGGGAAUUCAAUUUUUCGGUCUAUUCUACCAGGGCGAAGAAGUGCAGGAUCAAGACUCUCAAUUUUGUUUGUUGCAAGAAUCACUUUGACAUCUCCUCGUGAAUCAAAACCAUCUAACUGGUUCAGCAAUUCCAACAUGGUCCUCUGAAUCUCACGUUCACCACCAGAGUGCGCAUCAUACCUAUAAGAAGCACAGUUAGUCUUGAUGCAAAAUUUUCUCUCACUGUACACAAAAAAAGUGUUCAGAGGUGCACCUUUUUGUACCAACCGCAUCAAUUUCAUCAAUAAAGACGAUAGAUGGCGAGAGCUCAUCAGCAACUCUGAAGAGUUCCCUCACCAAUUUAGGGCCAUCACCCAGGUACUUUUGAAUCAGUUCACUUCCUACAACACGCAGAAAAGUUGCUGAAGUGGAGUUUGCUACUGCCUGAAGGAGCACCAAACAACAAGAUUAGCAGGCCAACAUUCCCAAGGAGGCAAUGCAAGAUGACCCUAUUGUUGGAAGGCAUCAAGGACCAAGACAACCAGAACCACUCCAUAAAUGCCAUAAAAUCAAAAUUAAGAAGCAUGUUAAGCACAUAGAACAACACAACAUUACACAGAACAACUCAAGCACCAUGUGCUCUGUAAUUGUGCUAAAACGCCCAUUCAGGCUUUAUCCCAGUGUAAUUGCUCCCUGAUACUAUUGAUAAAAUAAAAUCAAUCCAAUGAAUGCAAUCGUCAUCACACAGAUAUCAUAUUCAAAAGGUCCAAAAUAAUGAUACACAAUGCAUUUCAGAAACAGCCGAGAGGACAAAACAAUGUUUUGCCAUCCCUAUUGAUAAAAGAAUAAAUUAAACAAGGCAGAGAUUUUCACUGAACAAUACAAGCAUCAAAGUAAAAAAAAAAAUUAAAGGACAACUAUUUUGCAAUGAUGGUAGGAAUUAAGCAACACAAACCUUUGCAAGCAAGGUUUUGCCGGUGCCAGGCUCUCCAUAGAGGAUAACACCUUUAGGCGGUUUAAUACCAAUGUCUUCAUAUAACUCGGGGUGUGUCAGGGGAAGUUCAACAGCUUCCUUGAUUUCCUGUAUCUGAGCAUCCAAUCCACCAAUAUCGGCAUAAGAUUCCAAUGGAGCCUUCUCAACCUUCAUGACAGACACCAUUGGGUCGACUUCAUCUUGAAGAAGGCCAACUACAGAAAGAACCUGGAACCACAUCUUCCCACUGUGAGAAUCUUAAGGUAUCCUCCGGUAGUCAGUUCUUCUAAUUAUACAAGUAAAAGAGACUAUACAACCAUGUAAAGCAUAAAAAGCCCUUAAAGUUUUAAUCUGAUCUUCUACAUUCACUAACACACCAAAGUGUUCUCUAAUAAUAUUCAGAUUUUCAUGAAAACAUAAGCUUUCUUUAAAAAUUAGAUGUUCGUUGAACCCAAUAUUUUAGACCAAUUAAUUUCCAACAGUAUAUCCCAAAAGUCAAAAGCAUAUGCAUCCAUGCCUGAACUCUAUAAGAAACCAUACCCUCACCACCUGCUAUUAAGCACAUCAAAACUUACUCAUGGGUAAAUAAGCUAGUAUUUAAUUAGCAGAAGCCCACAUUGUGCUAAUUCACCAUGUAUUACAGGACAGGCUAAAACCAACUUAUACUCUGCAAAUUUUUCCCACUAAGCGCAACGAACAACAGGGAAAGGGGUAACACAACUGUCUUUAACUGCAAAAAUAAUUACUAGGAGUAUACAUUGAGAGGGCGUUCCUAUCUAUCUAGUUCAACCCCACAAUAACCUUGACUCUCCAUGUCCACAAGGAAAAUCCCUCACUAUAAUUGUCUGUUUGACCAAUUCGAUAGUUCAGAAGUUGGAAAAUGAAAAUCCUCCCCUUAUGUAGCUAUGAUAUAUGCUACAACUAUUCACUGUGGGAAAAAACAAAAAAAUUCUUGAUUUACAAACUAUCCUGAAAUCACAAAGCAAAAGAGAACAUGCAACACCACUACUAAAUUGGCUUCUACCAAAAAAAAAUGCUAGAACUUACCAUUGAAAAUGCAAAAGGUAAGUAACGUCCGACAUAACAUUCUUCACAGGGACCCAACCAGUUCAGGACCCCGAGAAUCUUACAUCUAUUUUUAUCCAUUCCAACCUAAAAUCCCACGAAGCUUGAGCUCCCCAGUCACAAUUUUUAUAUAAUUAGUCCAUAUUCUAUCUCAAAGCUUCAGACAUUUACCUAAUUCAGAAGGGACCCAAAACCCUAGCCAAUCCAUCCAGGCACAUUUACAGUGCCUGUAAUAAAACCACAGAUACCAGAGAUGCAACCCUAAUUUCCCCACCUCAACAAACCAAACCCUAAUUACACGUUUCAGAGAAAUUAAAUAAAAAAGUACACUUAAAAGGAAGCAGAAAUAGACCUUGUUGUGCAUCAGAAUAGCGCAUCCAGGCUCGAGCUGAUCCUUAUCCACAAACGACAAAAUCCCGACAUAAUACUCCGGUCCAACCGAUGACGAAACAAUAGCAUGAUUCUCGUCAAUAAGCUCCUCUAGGUUUCCGACGCUCAUAGGAGAGCCGCGGAGAUCAUCGACCUUGGAUCUAUCCUCUUCAGUCUUCUCCUCUUGAGGCUUCAAGCGUUCCUGAUUACUGACAAACUCUUCUUCCAUCAAAAGAUAGUCUUUGAUCCGCUCGAGCUUGAGCAAUCGGAGCUUGCACUUAGUCAGAGGGGUGACGGUAGGGAGACGAGCAGCGGCUUCGGGGCCUUUCUGCUUGCGCUGUUUGCGGCCAACGCGAGCGGGUGGCGCGCGCCGGCUCGAACUUUUUCUCCUUCUUAUCGCCGUCGUUUUUUCUGUCCCCUGGGAGUUGCCGGUUCAAACCGCCGGGUGUGCCCUGUCCCAUGGUUUAGUUGAUAUACUUCGAACGGAGGAGGCUGAAAUUGCUAGCGUUGCUAUGUCUGAGAAGUGGAGAGAAGAGCAAGCGUGAAUUGUAUUAUUUUGUUCUGUUUGUGGUGGCUUUGUGCUCAAGAAAAGGUUGCGAAACAGUGGAAGUCGAAACCCGAACCCGAACCGGAAUCUGUUGUAUGUGUGCCGGGAGCCGGUGGAGAUUAUAAUUUGGGUUGGGUGCACGUGAUUGUCACGUGUGCACUCACCAUUGAUUUUCAAAGAAGAUGUUUUAUCCAACAAAUAAACCAAUUCGAUUUUGUCCUUUCUUUUAAAGAUAAAUCUUUAUGUUACAUGUAUAAAAUUUGAAUUUGAAAUCCAAAAUUUACUCGUGUAUCAUUCGUUCAAUCGUAAUAGUUUAUACAUCAACAGUGUGUAAUUUGAGCCAACUUGAAUAUAAAGUUUACGCUACUCAUCAAAUUUCUUCAAUAUCUCCUAGAAACAAACAAUCUCCCAAAAAAAUCAGUGGUCAUACCUUCUCGUACCUAAUUAGCUAAAAAGAAUUAUAAUUAAUUGUGCCACCUAAAGAGAUAAAUAAGCUAAACAGCAUUAUUUCCAUCCUAUUUUUUUUUUUUUUUAAAGAUGGUUCUUACUAUUUGGUGCGUGCACAACAAGUAUACACACACACACAGAUCCACUACUAAAGGGUGUAAAGCUUUAUAAAUACUACUCUUGAAUUGUAAUAAAAUUUAACAGGAGAAAUUUACUCUUUCACAAAAACAUCCAACCCACUUCUUACUUGGUACUCUUAGAAUACCAAAUUAUCAAAGUCAUAAGAGCUAAGUCAUAGAAACAAUUGGAGUUUUUUAAGGGAAAUUCUUACAAUGAUGAGAGAGAGAGAGGCUCGAAAAUUGAACCAAAAACUCUUUCCCUAGGUUAUCUUUGAGGGGUGUUGGGGGUUGGGUAGAUAAGUCUCCUGAGUCGUCGUCAAAAGUUGCCGGCUUUUGACGAUUGAUCUGGGGCUUUAGGUUUGUUUAACUUAGCUCUUGAGGUUUCUCAAGAAGGUGAAAGAAAAAAAAAGGUUAUCUUUGAGGCGGAGUAAAGUGAAGCUCCCUACCAGCUCUAUCAAGUGAUCUACCUAGGAAGUAUGUUGCUAUCACCCGCGCUAAACUAGGCCUGCAAGGUGCGUUUAGAGGCAUCUUCCAAUAUUGAAAAUGAGAAAUUUAAUUAAGAGAAAAUUAAAAAGGAAAAUUUGCCGUAGGAUGGAAUGCAAUAGGGGAUGGAGCAUAUAGGCCUUAUGGCCAAUAUCCUGUGGCAUAUGUGGAAAGCAAAAAAUGAAAGAGUGUUCAAGGAAGAAGAAGAGAAACAAUUGUUGCAAGUGAUACAAAAGGCAAUGCAAGAAUGGAUGGAACACUUGACAACUGUGGAAGGGAAUAGGAGUUUGAGCAUUUUAGAGACUGCUGGAGUUUCAGACGAGCCAGGACUAAACAUCAAGUAGGAGGAAGUACAUCAAUGCGGAAUAGCUAUAGCUAACAGGAAAAGAAGGGCAGGAGGUAGGGAUUGGAGUGAUUGCAACUGAUAUCACUAGCCAAGAGAAAGUUGUAUGGGCCAUGAGAGAAAGGAGUGCUAGACAUUGCCUACUGGAUUAUGCAGAAGCAUUGAAACUAGCAAUGGCGAGAGCAAGAGCACGACAUUUGUCACAUAUAAGGGUCGGAAUCAUGGACCAACAAUUGCUAAGACAACUAAACUCAGGAAGAGUCAAAGAUAUCAGAUUGUUUGCUCAGGUGGAGGAGAUCAAUAGCCUAAGUUCAAUGUUUAUGCACCGCUCAUUUUAUCUGCUCCAAGAUGAACUGAAUAGAUAGAAGUAGACAGAUUAGUUCACAUGCUGUAUGCAUUCCAUGGAUGAGAAACACGCUGGUUUCAUUAGUGUCUUUGUACAGGAUGUAUAGCGUAGUUGGGCCUUUGCCCAUAUUUUUGUAAUGUUACUUUGGCUAAUCAAUAUACAAUCUCCUAACGUUUUCAAUCCAAAAAAAAAAAAAAGGAGUGCAGAUAAAACACUAUCAUUGCCUAAGACUUCCUCCGUCCCAUUAUUAUUAUUAUGUUUUCACUUUAUUGAUAUUUCAAAUAAGAGCCACCAUUUAAAAUUUAAGAUAUGCUUUCCAAUCUUGCUAUUUGAAAAAAAAAUAACUUUUUAAAAUUCCAAUAUACAUCUAUCCAGAGAAUAUUUUGAAUUCAAAAGAUACAUAUAUAUAAAUUCACUAAUAUCACUUCAUCUUGACAUAAUAAUUACCAAUGUUUUCAUAUAAAAUUGAAUUUCUGAAAACGACUCUAAUAUUGGGCCCAAAGGGAGUACAAAGUUUUGAGAAUUAAAUGAGGCUUAGCUUCCAACGGGUGCAAAAGCACUUGUUUGGUCCGAUAGUAGCUCAGUCCUCUCCUCCGAAUUCUUCUUGACUCAUUUGAGCCCACCCCUUUCUCUUUAGUAUAGAAUCGAGUAAGAUUAGAAUAGAAAAGCUAUUGUAUAAGAGAGAGAGAGAAUGAGGCUUAGCUUCCGUAAAAAAGGUAAAUAGUAAAAGAGUGAAAAAAAAUUAGAAAGUGUGAUGGCUCAACAAUGAUCUGGUAAACCGGGCCUUGCAACAGCUGGAAAAAGGUGCCAGUGUUUGGGCUUGGCUAGAAAGGCAAAGCAAAGAAGCGACAGUAUUUACAAGCCUUUCUCCCCGAGUCUCCAGUUGUCUUCCCUGCAAAAAUCAACCGGGAAAAGCUUACAGAAUGUACUUUUUUGCCCAUCAGAACCGAUCGGGAAGCAAAGCACUCUGAUAUUCGGAGACCGUUGAGGGGAAGUCUAUAGCCACAUAUAGCCAAAUGGGACCAAAAAUUUGUCAAGUGUGCGACGAUGCACAAUCAAAAUACAAGUGCCCAAGGUGUCUGGUUCCCUACUGUUCUUUGGUCUGUUUCAAGAAGCACAAAGAAAUUCCGUGUUCAAAGCCUGAAUCUUCUUCUCAAGGUACGUCCCCUCGUGAGUGCAAUUUUAACUCCAUGUUUCUCCCGACCUCAUUUGUAACUUAAUGUUACCGUCAUGAUUGUACAGCACUAGGUUAACUGCCACGGCUACUAGCAUUUGUAAACCCCAAAAUCACAACUUUAUGCUUCUUGCUAAAAAUUACUCUUGGUAGACGUCAUCUAUGCUGUUUUGUGAUUUGGGCUCUUUGUAGUUAUCUUGUUAUCAAGUAUCUGGUUAUAGCAGCUGGGAACACUUCUUCUUUUUUAAUUUCCCCUUUCCAACCAGGUAGAUUUAUUCUCAGACAUUCGUUGAAUUCUCUAGCAUUACAUCUACAGCUGCGAGCAUGCCAAGAAUUUAGGCGCUUUCGGCUGAAGUUUUUUUUUUUUGAAGCAGUUCUUCCAGAAUUGCACAAAGAUUUAUUUUUUUCUUCAAACUAUUUGAUGCAUCUGUAAAUCCUUGUCUUGGUUGCUGUCUACAGGAUAUUAAAUACUUUGUAUUCAGUGUUAACUCUGUAUUUCUGCUAAUGUGUUGCGGCGCUAUUUGAUCUGUAUUGGUUUUUAGAGAAUUAAGACAUGCAACUGAAAGUUGGUCUCUUCGGCCAUAUAUUUGUGUACUCUGACGGAAGGGUACUUCCAAUUUUGUUAUAACUUGUCUUAUCCUAGUCAGUUUGACUCUGUUUCUGGUCGGAUGUACACUUUAGUUGCUGAGAACGCUGAGGGAUAGUCUGCUAAUGUUGUGCAUCUCCUUUCUAUCAGCUCCCAAACGAGCUGUGCAUCUUGGGAAACCCUAUUAUGUUCAUGACCCAAGUGAAUCGCUGCAACAGGUUCAACUGGAGUCCAUAGGUAUAAUCUUUUAUGUAUUUUCAAUAAUUGCUUUGCUAAUAUCUGACUUCUAAGGCAACUGCUUGGUGUUAAAGCUAAAAUGCCUAGCAUUGAUAUCACAAUAUUUGGACCAUCUCCUCCACUCCACUAGCCUCCAAACCCCCAACAGAGAGAGAGAGAGAGGCGCCCGCCGGAGGGGGGGGGCUGUUUACUAGAACAGCAAGUAGGUGGAAGGGUUCCUGACUGGAAUCUCUUUACUUUUAACUCGUAAUAACCUAUAUAUGUAUAUGUGGUAUUACUCAUUCGUUCACCUUAAUUGCACUUAAUCAGUAUAAAGUUUACAGAUUAACCACCACCUAGAAUAACAGUUAAUCAUGAUUUCUCAAAUAGCCUGUAUGUACGGGCUCCAUUUCCUAUCUGCAACUUGAGUAGAAGGAAAGAAGAUUGCAUCUAGAAAGAAAUAAUUAGAGAUUUGAAAUUACUUUAGAAGCCUAAGGGGUAACAUAUUCAAUUGUUUGUUAGUAAGCUUAUUGCAUUUGUUGAUGGAACCACAUCCCAAAAUCACAAUUUAAUGGGCUAAAGGCAUUAUGCAACUUGAUGGAAUCGCAAUCAGUAAGUUGUUUGCUUGUUGAGGUUUUGCACGCUGGUGUCAUGUUUGCUUUAAAAUACUCAACAUUUACAUUCAUUAACUGAUAAUUGUGAAGCUGAUCAGGAAAAAGACAUUCAAAAGAAAAAAUAUUUUUUUUCUGUAAAAUGAACUUCUUACUACUUAAUAAUGAAUCUAAUUUUAGGACAGUCAGCUGAACACUUCUCAGGCAUGGGUGCGAGUACCUUGUACUGAUUCUGUCUUGGAAGAUAGGAUCUUGCCUUAAUAGAUUCUUUGUGUUUUUGGUGCAAUUUUUCUGAAUUUGAACACAGCUUGUUCGAGUGAAAUUCGUGAUAUAUUGAAGGAUAAAGAGCUUCAAAAGCUGAUACUCAAUGUAGACGGUUCUGCAGAGGCUGAAAAAGUAAGUUGUUACUAUCUGGAGUAAAUUUCUGUCGGAAUGAAAUAUCUUUAAGAGUCUUCUCAAGAAUAUGCUAAUUGUUGGAAUGUUGCACGCAAAUGACUUUCACUUGUCAUGUUUCUUUCUUUAAGGAGCUAGGCAAAGCAAUGGAAGUGGAUGCAUUCCGCAUUUUUACUGAGAAGGUAUCAAUUUUACGUUGACAGGAACUCUCUAUUGGUUUGGUUUUGUUAAAUAAGUGUGUGUUAUAAUUGAGAUAUCCAAGCUGAUUGCUGAAUUUGGUUGGAUCAUGUUUUUCUUUUGAUUACAGAUAUUGUCUAUAAUUGGUCCUAAAGUCUAAGCACUGAGCCACAAGCAACAAAGUGUUUGCUCUUUCAAUUGAAACGGUGGUAAACCUGCACUUGCAUUCAUGGCAGUGCCAUAACAAUUAUUUUCUGAUGAUACAUAUAGUCUAGUAAAUUUUGUAUUGGAUGCACUUACUACCUAUGUCCCUCGUUUGACAGAUGUGUGUACAAAAAACUCGCACGUAUCGAAGGCUGAUCUGUAAAUGCCAUUUUUGAACUCAACGACGGCCAUUAUUUGUAUUGCAUGCUAAAAUCUUGACUUCUGUAUUUUAGCCAAUUCUGUAGAUGUCAUCUGUGAACUCAUUCAACGGCCAUAAAUCGUGCUUGCCCAUAUAGUUUUCGCAUUUGUAUCCAAUUUUACAGGGAGGAGGUGCACUUGUUAAUCUGCUUCGGCUUCUGUGUUUCAGAGAAUGAGAGAUGCUUCCAUUUAGUCCUUUUUUUCCUGAAUCGGGAAACAGAACCAUGCAGUUUUUCUGACCUGCGCCGUGCUGCAUGAGAAUCAACAUCGUAGGUAGUAGUAGUACCUAUAUCAAAUGUUAACAGUUUCUUCGACUAGUAAGCGCCUGAAUGGCUUGAUUGACGUUCCGGAAUGACAGUAGUAGUGUUCAUGGUGGUCUGGGGGUACCGACGAGUUACCUUCGAUUUUUUCCCGCCCCAGACGUACAAAUAAUUACCACAUAGCUUAUGAUCCUUGCAAGGGGUUAAAUUCCACCUUGGGCGCACAAAUAAUUAACGCAUAAAACCUAAACUUUAGGGAAGAUUCUAAACUUUACAAGGUGUAGGCGUAAAUUGCAAGGAAGGAAUCGGAAGGCAAUCAAGAAAUUUUAUCACGACAUGGAUGAUUUCUCUGCCAAUUCAGCCGAGUCUUGGGACUACUUUUCCAAUCGUUCGAGCUUUGUCUUUUGUCAACUCCAAUACUAGACUUUUCGUUGGUUAAUUAAACCUAGUCCCAAAUUGAACUCUAAAAGCCGGCGAUCAUUCGAGCUUUGUCAGUCGCCCCAUCCAAGUAGUGAAGGUCACCAUAGCAGGUGAUUCUCUGUUGCAAGUAGUUUUUUUUUUUUGCAUGCAAUAUCUUUUCUUUCUUUCAUUAUCACUUUUUAUUAAACCACUUCCAUUCGUGUUUAAUUACGUGUGAAAUCUGGCAGCGGUAUUAGAACAAUUCUUCGCAGAAGCAAAAACAUGUUGGUAUUUAUUAGGAACAAGUGACAGCUCUAUAUAGCCGUCUACGGGUGCUUUUGAUUAAGUCUAAACGAAACUCCACAGAGUAUAUAACUACUAUUUACUCAGCUACACAACUCCGUCAUCCACCUGAAAAUGAGCUCCGGAAGGGAAAUAAAUCAUCCAGAACAAAACAGCUAUGAAGAUAGGCGAUGAGCAUGGAUGUUCAAGGGAACAAGAGCGGGAGGCAACUAGAAUUUAUUCUCUCUCUUGCCAUGGGUGGGAGCCUCAAACAACCUGGCGACCCAAAAAAAAUUGAAUUAGAAAUUCCAGCUGAUGCAUCAAGAUUUGUCACCCACAUACAAACCCAAUAUUCCGCUGUGUGAAAUGUGAUUAUCUAUGGGUGUCCCUUUCUUGCUGUGGGAUCACUCAAUUUGCUAAAACUCAACCUUGAAGCAUACCAGAAGCGAACAUACAUGUUAGCGGUAAGAUAUAUAAAAGCAAAGUUGAUUAUGUGUUGAUAAUUACAUUUUAGUAAAUACUACAGCUCUCAAAUCACAUGGUGAGGCCGGCUUACAAUCGAGCUCAACUGGGUCUCCUUUCCUCCAUUAGGCUACAAAAAUUUAGUUCUUGGACGGCUUACCCAUCAAUCCACCCCCGACUAACCUGCAGAUCAACAAAAUGCUCAUCAAUGAAUCCUAUUUUUAGAACCUUCAACAUAAUUUUGCUUAAGGUUCGAAGACCUUUCCUUUCCUUCCCAACAUACUUAAGAUAAUACAGUACCAUUAGCACAGCUAAUAUUUGGAUGGAUGUCUCUUUUAUUGCGAAACUUGAUUGGCAUUGAAAUACUUAGUGAGAAACCACCCAACAACAUUUAAGUAACUGUCCUCAUUUAAUAUGUGUGUGUGUGUCAAUCAAAAAAUCAGCCUACCAGAUUGAUGAUUAUCAAGAUUCCCAACUUCUCUGCUACUAUUCGGCUUGCUGGGCUGUACUACCACUUGAUUCUGGAAAAAAAUGAGAAAGGAAUGCUUCAAUACAACAGAGAGGCAGCACAUACAAGCAGACUGCUUCAUAUAAGAUGGUAAAGAAUCCACGAUGUAUGACAAGGUGGAAUAUAGCAUUAUGAAAACAUGCAUAUUGGUGAAAGUAUUUCAGUAACUAACAAUGUUGGUAUAAAGACACAAAUAAAGAAAGUGAAGUCAUGAUGGAAUUGAUAUUGGAAGUUUUCAUUACAGAUGGCUGAUUGACAUAAUACACAGCGCUCUCAUAUAAAUAUCACUUGCUGUGGUAAUGGUAUUUGUGCUUGGUGGAGACCAAUGAACUGCUGAUAGGGAUCAGCAAAAUUUGGAACUCGUGGCUGAUUUGGAUUAGGCGUCACUAGUGAGUUCAGCAUUGGAUCCAGCUGAUUGGAAGCUUGGAUUCUGGAAGAGUCAGGAAUGGAACCGGUUGCAUAUGAAAUGCUGGCAUGGGAAAUCUUGGCCCCAUGUUUGCUGCUACAGCCGGGCUUGGCAUUCCCGAACCGGUAUAAAAGAUGGAUAUGGUCACUGGACGGUUCAUACCAAAUCCAUGCCCAUGCCCAUGCCCAUGCCCAUGCCCAUACCAUUGCUGGCAUGUACUGCUGUACACUGGAUACAUCAUCGGGAGCAUGCACAUCCAUUGACAAUAACUACAGUAACAAGUGAAAAUUGCAUCAAGGAUGACUUGCUUCAGAUUAUUGGUUUCAUAAAAAAGAAAUUUCAUAUGCUAAAUUCAUAUUCAAGCACCAAAGGAUGCAAGAAACUAACUGCACUACACUAAGUAGCGCAGCAAUAAAGAGAAUGCAAUGACAUCCAAAUUAAUUUCCACCUGUACUUUUUGUGGCUCUAUGCCUGGAAAAGCGAAUUGCAGUGGCUGUUAAUGAAUUGCAUGGAUUUUGCUUCGCCGGUCAGUUUUUAGAUUAGCCUGGGGUUAUCUUCCAUCAGUUGUGGAGAUAUGGAAAUAUGAUGCUGUAUCAGAGGGGCAGUUUCUACAGUCCUACACUUUGCAAACUGCCUAUCAAAGGGAUAAUAUAUGUGACCCAUUCUUGGAAAGGUAUUAGGAAGAUUCGGACAAACUGGAGACUUAACACCUGUAUGCGGCAAAAUCUCAUGAGAUUUAUUCUAAGUUUUGGAAGUAAGGGCUUAUAGCUUGAUACUUAGCUACUUUGUUCAAUUUUUAUUAUGGGAUUCUAUUCCUCUAUGCGUUACAGUGCAUUUAAAACAAAGUUAAAUUAUUGCCUAAAAACGAAGAUUAAGUCCAUCACUUCUAUUUCUCGGCCAAUAUAUUGUCCUAUAAUUAAUGCAUGAAUUAGUCAAUCAAUAAAGAAGCAUCACUUCAUGUAAGGAUGGCAUCAGCUGGUGCAAUUUCAAAUUCAUACCAUUUUAAAUUUUUUCCCACCAAGAAGGAUGCUUUCUCACACCAAACAUUUGAAGAUGAAUGUGUGUGAAGACAUGUUUAUGCCCUUUUGCUAUAUGUAAACAUAGUCUCCAAAAAGCUAAACCAAUACAGGAAACAUUUUUCAAGAAUAACUUCAGUAGAUUAUGAAUCCAAGGUCAAUUUACUACUGGUUAAGAAAGAAGAAAAGAAAAAAAAAAAAAAAAACAGUUACGAGCAGUCUAUAGUUCAGGACAGAGAAAAACAAAUCCAGAAGAUGGUGAAGGAAAAAACUAUUCAGUUCUGUGGCAAUGUUUAAACAAAUUUGUUCCAAAAGCUAAAAAUAGCCAUCAAAGUAUAAAUAAAGUACAUUGGUGGCAACACCAGACUAUAACAUUCUGCUAUUAGAAUCUGGAUCUCUAGAAGUCUUAGAAUAGAUGUACAAUAGGAGGGGUAAAAAAGGAUACUAGGACUACCAUUUGCUUCAAUCAAGGAAAGGAGAGCCUUUAGACGAGCAACCGAAGCGAUCUUUAAGUAAAAGUAUCUAAUUCAGGAUGUUGGAGAGAAAUACUUGCUAGUAUUGUUCUUAAAGUCAUAAUGGUAGAAAAAGAGGGUACCUGCACUUGCAGUUGUAGCGAUUUCAAGUACUCAAUCGCUCAUCCAGCAUUGAAGCCUUGUCUGACUGCAACUUGCCAGAAAAGGAAAGAGUUAUGUCUGAGUGGAAAAUAGCACGAGUGGCGUUUAGUACUGGUACCAAUAGUCAAGAGCAAGGUGUAGACUCUAAAAGACCUUGUUGCAACGAGGUAUGACUUGCAAGCCCUCAUCUUUUCAUUUAUCCUGUCUCGACGCCUUGCAGAAAUUUGUUUGCACAACGUGUUGUUAAAGAGGAAGGAACCACAAAACCCCUACAGCCAUUAAGAAAAUGAGCACGUACUCUUUCUGAGAGAUUGUGAACCUCUGCAGCACGGGAUCUCUUUGUAGAUGUUGAUCCACGGGCUUGCCUUUUUGCAUCAGCUGACUCAAACUCGAUAUCCUGUGUUUUUUGUAGAGACAGAUCUAUUGUCGUUAAAUGUAGGGAAAAUUAAAAAAAAAAAAAAAAAAAGUUCAUUCGACUCGACGUGCCAAAUCAUCACAAUAUAAUUGACUCGCUUCAUAAAGAGUAGUGCUACUGCUACCGUCUUGAGAUUUAAACAUCUACUGUACAUAAUAAGGCUUCCAACUUGGCCGACAAAAAAUAAUUAGGACAUCUCCGAUCACUUUACAAAUAGUCUAAUAAUUAUGACAUGAAAAGUACAGCAUAUUUUUACACGCAGGAAUAAGUAGACAAUCCCAUUUCGCGAAAUUGGGGAAAAAAAAACACGAAUCGUGGACAAUGACGUAAACAUCAUCAGUGAAACACACAGAAAUGAAAAGAGACAACAAGACGCGGCAGUGACGAUAGUAGUAUAUGGUUUUUGAAAAAUGAAAAUUCAAGAACCGUUUUUUUAUCCAGAUCUGAAAAUACGAGGGUGACUGCGAAACCCCCUGGUCCUGGUGCGGGUGGUGUGGCUUGGCAAAUGCACAGAAAAAGUGCAAAGUCCGUGAUUUCUUCCGCCCUCUGAAAAUGAAAAACUCUCAACAGUCUUCCAACCCUCUCUUCCCCUGCUGGCUGCUCCACUAUUUCACUAAUCGCCACCAGUUCCCUCGCCCUAUCAUCACUCAGCCGUACGCUGAUUAUACAAUUUGUGGCGUUGAGCGUGCACACGUGGCAUGUUGGACACCGCGCUUGUUCUCCACGUGCCACGUGCACGGCCAAGCCAUGACGUGGCAACCAGACUUUGGCAAAUAUUUUUAGAUCCCACCCAGCCCCAGAAAAAGAGGGAGAACCAUAAAUACAUAUAUAUACUCGGCGCUUUUAUUUAGAUUAGAUAUUUUAGUACAGGGGUGGGUUGCUGCUCUCGCGCUAGCCGACGUAAAACAUAUGAAAACAAACCAAAAAACAUAAAAACCCUCUCCUCCGUGUUUUAUAUCUGCUACUCGUACUAAAGAAUUGGACUUAUUCGGUGGUGAAAAGGUGAAAAAUAAAAUAAAACUAAAAUAAUAAUUUGGCGGUUAAUUUGAAAAAAAAAAAAGAAAGGGGGUCAAAGUGAAAAAAAUUAUUCUCACCUCACUAGGACAAUCCGUCUCUCCGUUUCUCUUCCUUUACGCUUCCGGUCCUCCACACGGACGGGCUCGGUUUAUGAUUGAAGUCGGCGGCCGGUGAUGCGGCUCCGCGGUUGCACUGACGCUACCCCGGAGGCCCGGGGGACGACGUGACGGUGAGUUCACAGGCCGUGGUCGCCAAGUCCCUAGCUGCAGCGGAGGUAGCCGCAGCUGCAGUGGAGCUCACGGCUCCGCAUCUUACAUCCCCUUCAGGAAACCCUCGAUUCCGGCACCGUUGUUUGCGUCUCAUUGGAGUCCACCACCGUCAAUUCCCUCGUGUAUCCGGCUCGUUCCUGGAUUUGGGCAGUCUGGAGAAGUGCAUGAAGUUUUGAAGCCUAGGAGCAGCUGCCUCUAUUGGGUAGGUGCCUUUCGAAGGAGGAGGUACGGGUCGAGGAGGAAUAACGGCUGGCGGCGGGCGGAUCUCCCGAUAGUUGUGCGGAGUUCUUGGGAGGAACGGAGGGAGUUGGCGUCAUGGUGGUGGUGGUGGAAGCUGAAGGCGGCGGAGGAUAGAGGAGAUCGGAGUAGAGGUCGCGGUCGAAGGAGGAGUCGUCGAGAGGAUAGUGAAGCCAAGAGGCCAUCUCGUCUUCUUGCAUGAAGAGCUGCUGCGGCGGCGGCGCCGCAUAGGUUGUCAUUUUCUAGUAUGGAUGGGAUCUCUCUAGAAGCACCGGAUUGGUGUAGUUGAUCAGGCUCUCCGCCCCGGUUGGGAGAUUUCUUGAAUGAUCUUUGAUUCUGGCUUUGGAAGACCACCUGCCCGUUCUGCCAUAGCAGCUCCAUGAUCUCUUCUUCACCUCUAUUUAUAAUUGACAUGACGUCCAUAAUUUAAAAUAAAACCGGAGAAAAAAAAUAAAAAACCAAAACUUCAAUUGAAGCUCUUGGUCUUGGAGUAGACACAAGCAAAAGCAUAAAAAUAAAGAAAUUGGAGUUUUGGGAAGAAAACUCAAAUCUUAAUUACAUUGCUGGCUUCUUGGGUCUGGCAGUGGUACUGGCAUUAAUUGAAGAAGAAGUAGGGAUUCCAUAAUCGUCAUCCAUUUCAAAAUCCGGAACGCAAUGAUUCAUGAUUGAUUAAUCCCUCCCUCCCUGUAGCUCUAGCUCUAGCUAGGCUGCGACCUACUCUAGAAUCCCUAGUAGUAGCAUAUACUACUGCUAUUGCUGCAUCAGAGGCUACUCUUCACCUGUCUCCACAUAUAUCAUCAUCAUCAAGAAGCCGCUGCACAUAUAUGAUAUAUACUCCCUGUAAUUAAGCUGGAGGAGAGUAGAAGCUUGAUAAGUCGGUGAGACAACAGUUCGUCUGGUUUGCUUUGCAAGUCUUUUUAUUUUAAUUUUUCCCCUCUAGGAUGUGGUACAAGUUAGAAGAGGGAAAAAGGGGUCGGGGUUUUCCCCGGGGGGGGGGGGUGGGGGUGUGUCUUAUAGAAACAGCUAGCAGCAGAUAGGAUGAGGGAUGGGGGAGGUGGGAGGAGAAUGAUUGAUUACAAUAAUAUUUGCUUGUAUCAGGACCAGUUAAUACUACUACUAAUAUGAUCCAGCUUUAGUGUUAUCGAUCUAGGAGUAUAUAUUUUGGUUUUGGGUGGGGGUCGAAGAUAAGGUGCAGAGAGCACAAGAGGGAGGAGCUUCUCUCUGUCCGUCUCCGUUUCUUUUCUUCUAUAGUUCUAUUUUUGUGUGUUUGUCCUACUGAUUGACUGCUCUCUCUCUCUCUCUCUUUUCUUCCGAAUAAUGCGAAGAUAAAGGACGCGACCUGAUUUUGACGGUUUUUGUAUCGCAUACUGUGUCAAGUGUGUCACUACUCACUACUGGCUCGCAUUUCGCCUUUUUCCACCAUCACCACCACCACCACCACCACCAUUUGGCAUUUGAUUUCCUCCUUGAGCUCCAAACGAAGUUAUAAAUUAAAAAAAAAAAAAAAAAAAAACCCUCAGCUUGUUAGUGUAGCCCCUGAGAUCAAGUCUCAAAACCGAAAUUGAGGGUUGAAACUCAAGUGCCGUAAAAUAUUAAAAAAAAAAAAGAUGAUACUGUAGCCUGGGACCUCGUCAAUGGAUGGAUUCUAGGAUAAUAAUUGAGCCCAUUAAUGGAUUGUGGAAAUCCGGAUUAUGUACGCUAGCUAGUAUCUAUUAAGUCGCCAUCCCACCUUUUGAAGGGCUUGUGUAGUAUAUGUACUGCGUACAAUUUCAACGAGGGCUUGUGUUGUAUAUGUACCAUACACAAUUACAACUACAAGCCCUGCAAAAGGUGGGAUCCAAAAAAGUAAUAUAACAACCGUUUUUUGUAAUUUAAUGUAUGUGAAAUACAAAAAAAAAAAAAAAAUUUGAUUAAAAAUAUAUUUGCAACGUAAGUAAACAUUUUUUCUGUGUUUUGUUUUGACAAAUGAAGUUGGACCAGCGACAGAACUUACUUAUCCUGACACAUUUGGUUCAAGAUGCGGGAAUCUCAUUUUGUUAGCCCCAACAAGAAGCAUGAACUACUUAAGAUAGUGCGCUUUUGGUACUUCAACCCAAAAAAAGGACUUUUUGCAUGGGGGGAGAGAUUCUAUUGUUUAAUGGCUUGACCAUUCUCCUUGCGAAUGAAUGAUGCAUUGUUUAAUGUAGAAUCCGACAAUUAACGAUAAACCGUCUCCGUAACUAAAGUUAGUUGGCGACUGCAUCCACAAUUUAUUAUUUGAUGAUGAUGAUGAUGAAGAGACUCAUCUUCCUAAGGAAUCAUACGCGUGGAUAGACGGCCGUGGGAUUUUCAGCCCUUUUUUUUUUUAAGAUUUGCGAAAUGGUUUUCCAACCGCGUGUGUUUGGAUAUGAGAUUGUUUAAAGUAUUAUUUGGAAUAAUUACUAUAACAUUUUUUGUGAUAUGAUGUAUGUGAGAUAAAAAGAUAAUUGAAAAGAUAAAAAGAUGUGUUGAAAAUUAUAUUCAUAAUGUAAGUAAAUAAAUUUUGACCAUUAUUUGGCUAUCCAAACACACUCGACGAUAAUAAUAUAAUGUGUAAGGCGGCCAGCAUCUGUCAACUUCAUUUGGUAGUGGUAUCAAAGGAAUUUGUGCUUCCAUUUCAGCCCCAAAAAAAAUUUGUUUUUUUUUUGAAAAAAGAAAGAAAGAAUAAGAGGAGGAGAAGAAGAAGACGCAUUGGAGGUAGGGAUGUACACGAGCCAUUUGCGAGUAGCUCGAUCAAUAGCUUGACUUGAACUCGAUUUGACCGAGUUCGAGUUGAGUCUCGAGCUACUCGAUUGUUAUUCGAAUCGAGUUUCGAACUAAUAUUUUGAGACUCGUGGCUUAUCGAGCUACUCGUCGAACGGGAAUGUAUUUAAAUUAUAUAUAUAUAUAUAUUAUAAUUAUAAAAUGACCGUUAUGGAUAUAAUUUAUAUUGAAUUUACAAUAUACUAUUCUUUAUAAUAAAAUUCCAUAAGAGCAGAAGUAUACAUUUUUCGACUCGAGUCAAUAAGCUUGAUUAGACUCGACUUGAUAAGACUUGCCUAAAGGUCGAGUCUCAAGCUUCAAGGGAGUUCCUCGAGUCUUGACAGACUCGAGUAUCGAUUUUUUGAAUUCGAUCGAACUCGAGACUAGGUACAUAUGAGUCGAGUCGAACUCGAGUAUAGCGAUUCUCGGUUACAUCCCUAAUUGGAGGGCAUCCGUGGAUGAUGAGGCAGAAGUAUAAAAAACGUGGUCCGAACCGAAGCAUCUAAGCCAAACAGCGAUGGAUAAGAUAUGAUUGAUCAUUGAAGCUUAAGCGUGGUAAGCUGGAAUGCGGUCAAGAGUAACCAAGUACAGGUAUUUCCUAGUAAUACUUUACUGGAAUGAGAGUGACGCGUUGGAGGCUUUAAGUAGGUGCCCAUUUUUUGAGUUGAGAUAAUGACAGAGUGAUAAAUUGUCACGCUCGAGGCUGUUUUCUCUCCAAGGUUCCCAAUUAAACUGAGCACCAAUCAUUUUGUGAUGAGGUUUUAUGAUGAGGUUUUGCGUGGACGUUCCUCCCCAUUAUAUAUAUAUAUAUAUAUAUAUAGAAGGUAUAUAUAUAUAUAGAAGGCUUUGUGUGGACUUUGCUGUAUUUUUCUUCUUUUCGGGCAAGUUGGAUGCGAAACUCGUUACAAGUAGGAAGGAGGCCCUUGUUUAUUUGAUCCACUUGCAUGCGUUAUCCUGACUUUCGCACGUCCCGGCCGCCCACAAAAGCGCCCCAUUUUCAAUGACGUCAUCUAUCCUAUGUAAGUUCGGACAAAGUUUUAUGUCGGUAAGCAGCCAUUACUCCCCAGCAGUAGUUGGUUCAGAUUAAUUAACAGAAAAGUCAGCUACACGUAGACACAAGAGAAUAAUGCUGCUGACUGAAAUUCACUAAACAUAUUAAGCGAAAUCAAGCGAAACACCACUUUUUAUACAUCCACCCAGUUGAAAAAAAAAAUCAAUUAUUGAGCAAGAUGCUUGGUAGUUUUUUCGAUUGGCAUAAUUUUUUUUAAAAAUUUACUGGUCACCCCCCAAAUUUUUUUAUAUACGUGAGCAAAUUUUUUUGAAGGACAUCCCCUUGUCCACGUGAUUGAUUUGAUAUGACGCAACAAUAAUUUUCAACUAAUUGUACAAUCUAAAGGACGCUUAUAAUUGCAUAAAAUAACCUUGUAAAUUAAAUUUACAUGUCUUGAAUUCAAAUCUCAUUUUUCUCCCUAUUUCUUAAAUUCCACUCUUUUCCUAUUUGCAAAAAACCAAAAAAAAAAAAAAAAAAACUUGAUAUGUUGAAUGGAACUUGUUGUAAUUACACAAAUCUCAGAGGACUUCCAUAGGAUUCUACCAAAAUUUGAACGAGGUCAAUGUACCAAUGCACUAAUACAAUGUACUAAUGUCGUGUCAUAGCAUUUUUUUGAUUUAGUUGGAUUUGCAUAUUCACUAGCUCUUAAUAUAUAAUCCUUAUUAAGCUCCCUCUCUCCCUUAGAUUAGGAUACAAUAUAUAGUUGCUGACAAAAAAAAAAAAAAAAAUUGCACUGAUAAAAGAUCACGGUACCUCCUCUAUCCUUGAACUUGCCAUAUUUGUUUGUUGGAUCAGGUAAAAAAAAAAAA